rnacentral:rRNA from 1 species
CCUACGGGCCGCAGCAGUGGGGAAUAUUGCACAAUGGGCGCAAGCCUGAUGUAGCCAUGCCGCGUGUAUGAAGAAGGCCUUCGGGUUGUAAAGUACUUUCAGCGGGGAGGAAGGCGAUAAGGUUAAUAACCCUGUCGAUUGACGUUACCCGCAGAAGAAGCACCGGCUAACUCCGUGCCAGCAGCCGCGGUAAUACGGAGGGUGCAAGCGUUAAUCGGAAUUACUGGGCGUAAAGCGCACGCAGGCGGUCUGUCAAGUCGGAUGUGAAAUCCCCGGGCUCAACCUGGGAACUGCAUUCGAAACUGGCAGGCUGGAGUCUUGUAGAGGGGGGUAGAAUUCCAGGUGUAGCGGCGAAAUGCGUAGAGAUCUGGAGGAAUACCGGUGGCGAAGGCGGCCCCCUGGACAAAGACUGACGCUCAGAUGCGAAAGCGUGGGGAGCAAACAGGAUUAGAUACCCGCGUAGUC